rnacentral:tRNA from 1 species
GGGGAUGUAGCUCAAAUGGUAGAGCGCCCGCUUUGCAUGCGGGAGGUACAGGAUUCGAUCCCCUGCAUCUCCA